GGCCUGAAUAGUAGGGGCAAAUUUACUACUAAAUCGGUUUAUGAGUGGCUGGAAAGAGAUUUAUCUGGACCUAGUUAUAAAAUGAUUUGGAAAGCUGCGAUCACCUUGAAAAUAAAGAUUUUUUUAUGGCAACUGUUUCAAAAUGCUGUGCCUACGCGCGAUAACAUGCGGCGUAGAAAUUGGCCAGGAAACCCUGUGUGCUCCUUCUGCACAAAUGUGGAAACUGCUAAUCACCUCUUUUUUACCUAUCCUCUCGCCCGUACGGUUUGGGGCGUAUUGGGGUUGACCGCAGGAGCCUCUUGUGCCCCCGGAUCUGUUUGGCAAAGUUUAGCUUGGCUAUAUAAAUUCUUUCCAAGUGGAAAGAGAUUUUAUAUGAUGAUUGUUGCAGCCGUGUGCUGA
rnacentral:rRNA from 1 species